rnacentral:rRNA from 1 species
AUUGAACGCUGGCGGCAGGCCUAACACAUGCAAGUCGAGCGGAUGAAGGGAGCUUGCUCCUGGAUUCAGCGGCGGACGGGUGAGUAAUGCCUAGGAAUCUGCCUGGUAGUGGGGGAUAACGUCCGGAAACGGGCGCUAAUACCGCAUACGUCCUGAGGGAGAAAGUGGGGGAUCUUCGGACCUCACGCUAUCAGAUGAGCCUAGGUCGGAUUAGCUAGUUGGUUGGGUAAAGGCCUACCAAGGCGACGAUCCGUAACUGGUCUGAGAGGAUGAUCAGUCACACUGGAACUGAGACACGGUCCAGACUCCUACGGGAGGCAGCAGUGGGGAAUAUUGGACAAUGGGCGAAAGCCUGAUCCAGCCAUGCCGCGUGUGUGAAGAAGGUAUUCGGAUUGUAAAGCACUUUAAGUUGGGAGGAAGGGCAGUAAGUUAAUACCUUGCUGUUUUGACGUUACAAACAGAAUAAGCACCGGCUAACUUCGUG